UUACAGUGCUGUGUGCAUACCUCUAAAACUGAUUUGAAGCUUUCUUUGUGACCCCAUGAUCUUAAGCUGUCUGUAUGCCACUAAGACCCUCAGCACAAGUUUGAGGAGGAGGAUGUCCCUGGGGGACUGCCACAGGAGCUGAGAACUUUGUCAUGUUCCAGCGACACUUUAGCAGUGCCCUGCUUCUCCUGGGAUCGAUACGGAAACCUCUGUGACAGCUUUACACCGAGAAUUCUGGAUCACUUGAAAAGUUGCAGUCUGAGUCAUAUUUAUAGGCCCAGCACUCUGCAGAAGCAAAAUCUGUAUGGCAGAAGAAGCAGAAAUUCAUGUGAAACAGUGAAAACCUCAGAAAACUGCAGCUUCCUACUUAGUCUAGCAAACCACUCCAUGUAUAGCUGCACAGACUUGUGGUGGAUACAGGAAAGGAAGUUUUGCAUUUGCCAUGAAGUUGUAUGGGAGAAAUGA
rnacentral:lncRNA from 1 species